rnacentral:RNase_P_RNA from 1 species
GUAAGUCGAAGACAGCUGCUGAGCUUUUAGCUCGAGGAAACUCCGUCCACCACACAGAACUAUAGUGUCUAAAGGCACAUGCUGAGAAGUAUGACUCUGGAGCAGAAACGAAACGUCUUUUAAUGAAUGAUUAUGAUGCAUUUUGCAGAUUGACAUUAAAAGGAUCGGUGAAACGGCCAAUCUAUAGGGUGCAAGAACAAAACAGCCAAUGACAACUGUUAGAGGCAAAGUAGUUCGCAAAGAUGAAUGCUGUUAAACAGAAGAUGGGUUACUCAUGUACAUAC